GUAUAUCAUAGACAGGGGUUGACACUAAGGUUUCAAAAGCACUUGCCCAUCGGGCAAGUACAGGUCAGGUUCAACUUGCCCGAAUGUAAUGUUCACUUGCCCAAAUUAUAAUCAGAAUCAAAAAUCAUGUUAGCUUCCACACAUGUUGUGUUUAAAAAAUAACAAACUUCUCUUUGUUUACUUAUUUAUCGAGCGGUCACAUCGUGCCAUGAAGUGAUUUCAGUCCACCGUUCCAACCUAUUAAAGCUAUCGCCAAGUUAUAUGUAGACCUGCAUGAUUUUAUGCAAAUGUACAUAACUAAAUGUCAGAGGUAGUAGCAAAGAUAUGUCUUUUUAACUUUCAAGUUUCUUGUAGCUCUAACUGAAUAAUCACAAUCGCGUUUCUAGUAGGGUUGUCAGUCACGAUACUGGAUUUUCUAACUUCAACACUAUUCCUGGAAAAAGAUCGAUAUUCUAUACCAUUUUUUAUAUCAGGGGAAAAGUUUUUUCAGGAAAGAACAUACCCAUAGUAAAUAGAUUAUAUCUCCACAACUGCAAGGGCGAUAAUGUCAUCUUUGGGCCAAAAGAAAGAUUGUUGUGCAAGUGAAAUAUUCAAUGGGGAUAAUACUUUGUUAAAGUGAAUAAAGCCAUGGAACACAGCAUAAGUGGAAGAUAACAUUUCCACCUGAAAUAAUUAUCAGUAUCAGUUGGUCGUUAUCAGUUGGGAGCGCUGUCUUACUAUGAGACACAAAUAAAGGUAGAUAUCUUACAAUUUAGACACUUGACACCUCUAUUUAAAGUUCAGGGCAAUCGAAUGCACCAAGCAAAACACUCGCAAAUAAAUAUAUGGCCACUAGAUUGCGCUGAAUAAUAUGUUUUCUGAUUGAAGGCAAUUUACCUAUUUCCUAAGAAUCCUUCUCUUAUUCAUUGAUUGAAAACACCAUGUUAAGUUGCAAAAUUUGGCCCAGAUACUGGAUAAUCUGUUGAUGGUGGUUUUAUUCGAUCAGAAUCAACUUUGUGGACAAAAAUCACAAAGGUAAUACUUCAUUUUUGGUUAUUACAAGAAAAGGGGACGUUUCUUCUUAAGUUGUUAUUUGCGAGUUUUUGUCACAGAAUGAUAUGGUUUGGACUGUUGGAAUAAGUGGAGGCUCAGCUUUCAUGUAAUAUAUACAGUAGUUUGUGAGGGUCCAAUUUCGUGAAAAAGAUCGCUAUUGCUCUGUGCAUGUGCACAGUUAUGAAACCGAAAACCGUGUUCUUGACUUCCUUGAUAAUUUGCCUCAAUCCAAAGUACUUCCAAACUGCACUCCUCCAUCACUACUCCAUUUAACUUCUACCUAAACCGUUCGCGGAGGUGCUGCACUUGAGAUGCUAGCUGUGUUGGCUAACCUGUAGCACUGCCAGAGACCGCACUGCGAGUGAGUGACAGAAGGCGGGGCUAUAUUCGCACUGAAGCGAUGCGUGUCUGUUAACUC